UUUUUGGCCGCUCUGCGGCAUAUGGAGUUCCCAGGCCAGGGCUGUUAACCUGUAUCCCAGAGCUUCCUAGACGCUGCCAAUCGCAUUGCACCACAGAGGGAACUCCCAGAGCUUGCAUUUUUAAUUGAUUCCCAGUUCCAGAGGCGGCAUAAUUUCUGCGGGCGGGGCAUCGCCCCCUGGCGGUCAGAUAUUUGGGCACUUUUCUUUAAGAUAAAGCGAGUACCCACUCCCUCCCACGUUAGGAACCUUGAGUUAGAUUAUUUCCCAGUCUCUUCCCAUCAGCGCGUCAAGGAGCUCAUCAGGAAGAAGGGAAAAGGCGAAGGCGCGUGGGGUACUGGCUAAGCAUUAACUAGCUACCGGAAGCGGAUGCCUCCGGCGCUUCCGCUCUAGCGCUGGGCCAAUCACGGCCCAAGAGAGGGGCGUUUCCUGCGGCUUCGGGGCAGGACUUCCGGCCUCUACCUACGGGACAUCCUUCCACGAGCGGAUGCUGGUUGUGCCGCGACCCCGUGGACUGAAACGCCGUUGUGGGGGCUCCAUUUAGCCCACUGUCCCGUUGGGGUAGCAGGUGCGGCAGCACUGAUGAAUCCGGCGCAGGGCUGUGUGACCUUCGAGGACGUGUUUGUGUACUUCUCCCGGGAGGAGUGGGAGCUCCUUGAGGAAGCUCAGAGACUUCUGUACCGUGACGUGAUGCUGGAGAACUUUGCGCUUGUGUCAUCGCUGGGACUUGCGGUUUCCAGGUCUCCCGGAGCUUCUGAGCUGGAGCCCAAGGGGAGCUCAGGGUACCUGAGAAGGUAGACACACAGCUCCAGUCACAGCAAAGCAGGAGGAGGAGCCCUGGCCCUGGUGAGCGGAAGGCUGUGGGCACGGCGUGGACCAUGUGGCUGCACCUUCCGAACCAGGAGUUGCUGGAAGAGCGUCACAGAUAAGAACUCUCAAGACAGGUCCAUCUGCCCAUGAGCCUCACCCCCGAGACAUGCACAGCCCAGUCUUGAAAGACAUUUUUGCCCCUGGCUGAGCCACGUGGAGCACUAUCUGGGCGACACCUGUACUCCAGCGAGUGAGUCAUUUUGGGGAGACUUCUGUGCACUUGAAACUGUGACCAGAUGCAGAAGCAGCAGAGUGGAUCCUGCAGAAGGGACAAUCCAGGCCUCGUGUGUGAGGAGCUGCAUAUCCUGUGUAUCAGCGAAGGCCUUCGCUGGCAGGGAAGGUGGAGAAACCACACUGGAGUAUCGGGAGGUGCUCUUCUGCCGGCGUCACUAAGAGGCCUCUUUGGAUGUUGGAUUCCCGGGAGGCGAGGAACGCGCAACCUGAGGCUGUAAAGCCUUGUGCUUCUCCGCUGCCCUGGUGGGAGGGCACGUCUCCAUGGUCAGUUGACUGAGGUGCCAGGUUGGGGAACCAUUAGCAAUGCAGGGGUUGCUAAUGAACCCAGGGCUGCUUUACCCCAAGGAGACUCUCGGCAGGACGAUGAGCUCUGAACCCAGGGCCGUGGGGCAGACGAUAACCUGCGCUCCGGAGUUUGACGACAGUGAUUCUGCAGGAGAUGCUUUUCAUGAACAGAGCUCACGCAGACCAGCUAGAGCUUCCAUGAGCUACACAGAAGCAUCUCUGCAAGUGGAAGAAAUGCGGGAAAGGGCUUAACAAACAUCACCGUGUUGUUGGACCUCAGCGGAUCGUGCCGGAGUGAGGCUGUUUUCCACCCCUGGCAAACAUACUUUGCUCUCAGAGCGAUCCGGUGACCCUCCUGUGACAGCUGCUUUUCCCGCAUCCCAUAAGGAUCCUCACCGGAGAGGACCACUGAGGGCAGUGAAUGUGGCAAAGCCUCCAUUCACCCGUUUUGGUCAGGCCUGAAAGCAUCCACAUGGAGAAAAUCCCUCUGAGUACGAGACUAGCAGAGAGGAGUUCCCCUCGUGGCUCAGCGGCAAUGAGCCGGACUAGGAUCCAUGACGUGGGUUCGAUCCCUGGCCUCACUCCAUGUGGGUUAGGAUCUGGCGUGGCUGUGAGCUGUGGUGUAGGUCACAGACACGGCUCGUGUCCCUCUCUGCUGUGGCUGUGGCGUAGGCCGGCAGCUGUAGCUCCAAUGAGGCCCCUGGCCUGGUAGCUUCCACAGGCCGCAAAUGUGGGCCUAAAAAUAGGGAGAGACCGCUUCGUGACAGCUCUUCCCUAACUCGGCACAUGAAGCGUCGCACUAGGGAGAAACCGCGUGAACAUAGCGAAUGCGGACGGUCCUUCGGCCUCUGUGCAUCCCUCCCUCAGCCUCGGCGUGUUCCAAUGUGGGGAGAAACCGUGAGUGGAGGGAUGGGGGGAGAGCCUUUUGCAAGUGGACUUACCUCAGUCAACAUGCGAGAACUCGUACUGGGGAAAGACCUUUUGAAUGUAACUCCUAGGGAACAUGUUCUGAUAGGACGAGACGUCUUGUCCAGCGUCUGAGAAAUUAUACCAAAGAGAGACCCUGUGAACAUCCUGGCUGUGAGACCAUCUCAGGCAGAUCAUCGUGUGUUGUCAUCUAGAGUUGUAUUGGAAAUGGACUUUGCUAGAAGAAUGUAUCAAGGACAGAGAACCAGUGGCUAUUGUGCAAUUUCAAAAAAAAAUUUUCAGCUCUAGCUCUACGCUUAGUAAAUACUAAAAAAGCGACCACAGGACUAUUUUCUUUUCAUUGUUUCGGCCACACCGUAGCAUGUGGAAGUUCCCAGGCCAGUGAUCGAACCCGCUCUGCAGUCGCGACCUUUGUCACAGCUGGAGCAACCCUGGACCCUUAACCCCCUGCCCCACGCGGGAACUUCCCAUAGAAAUACUUAAAAAACAGAAACAAAGGAGGAAGAAGAGAAGAGAGGUACCAGGAAAAGAAACAUAUUCACGGCUUCUUUGGGGUUUCCCUGACAAUUACGGGUUGUUUUUGUUGUUGGGUGGCAGGGGCGGAAGAGUGCUUGAGAAGGAACACCUGAGUUCAUACACGCUCUGCCCUGCUGUGCCAGGUGAGCUGUACGCUUGAAAGCAGCUCUGCAAACGUUUACUGAAUCCUGUGUUGGAAAAUGUUGUCUCAGCUAUUCAGGAGCCUCAGUCUGUGUGCGAAAUGUCAAGUCCCGAUUUAUGAAACACUGGAAUUAGGAUGCCGAAAA